rnacentral:rRNA from 1 species
AAUAUUGCACAAUGGGCGCAAGCCUGAUGCAGCCAUGCCGCGUGUAUGAAGAAGGCCUUCGGGUUGUAAAGUACUUUCAGCAGUGAGGAAGGUGGAUAUGUUAAUAGCAUAUUCAUUUGACGUUAGCUGCAGAAGAAGCACCGGCUAACUCCCGUGCCAGCAGCCGCGGUAAUACGGAGGGUGCGAGCGUUAAUCGGAAUUACUGGGCGUAAAGCGCAUGCAGGUGGUUUGUUAAGUCAGAUGUGAAAGCCCGGGGCUCAACCUCGGAAUUGCAUUUGAAAACUGGCAAACUAGAGUACUGUAGAGGGGGUAGAAUUUCAGGUGUAGCGGUGAAAAUGCGUAGAGAUCUGAAGGAAUACCGGUGGCGAAGGCGGCCCCCUGGACAGAUACUGACACUCAGAUGCGAAAGCGUGGGGAGCAAACAGGAUUAGAUACCCUGGUAG